GACGAACGCUGGCGGCGUGCCUAAUACAUGCAAGUCGAACGCAGUGGGGACGGGUGAGUAACACGUGGGUAACCUACCAUCAGAGGGGAUAACACUUGGAAACAGGUGCUAAACCGAUAUUGGAGGAUGGACCCGCGGUGCAUUAGCUAGUUGGUGGGGUAACGGCUCACCAAGGCCAGGAUGCAGAGCCGGCCUGAGAGGGUGAGCGGACACACUGGGACUGAGACACGGCCCAGACCCCUACGGGAGGCGGCAGUAGGAAUUCUUCGGCAAUGGACGAAAGUCUGACCGAGCAACGCCGCGGGAGUGAAGAAGGUUUUCGGAUCGUAAAACUCUGUUGUUAGGGAAGCGGUAUCUAACCAGAAAGCCACGGCUAACUACGUGCCAGCAGCCGCGGUAAUAC
rnacentral:rRNA from 1 species